CGGGGUGAGUAACGCGUGGGUAACCUGCCUCAUACAGGGGGAUAACAGUUAGAAAUGGCUGCUAAUACCGCAUAAGACCACAGUACUGCAUGGUACAGUGGUAAAAACUCCGGUGGUAUGAGAUGGACCCGCGUCUGAUUAGGUAGUUGGUGAGGUAACGGCCCACCAAGCCGACGAUCAGUAGCCGACCUGAGAGGGUGACCGGCCACAUUGGGACUGAGACACGGCCCAG
rnacentral:rRNA from 1 species